rnacentral:rRNA from 1 species
GGGGGACGGAGAAGGCUAGGCUAGCCGGGCGACGGUUGUCCCGGUUUAAGCGUGUAGGGGGUGUGACCUGGUAAAUCCGGUUGCAUAUCAACCCUGAGGCGUGAUGACGAUGCACUACGGUGCAGAAGUAGUUGAUGCCCUGCUUCCAGGAAAAGCCUCUAAGCUCCAGGUAACAUUGAAUCGUACCCCAAACCGACACAGGUGGUCAGGUAGAGAAUACCAAGGCGCUUGAGAGAACUCGGGUGAAGGAACUAGGCAAAAUGGUGCCGUAACUUCGGGAGAAGGCACGCUGGCAUGUAGGUGAAGUCCCUUGCGGAUGGAGCUGAAGCCAGUCGAAGAUACCAGCUGGCUGCAACUGUUUAAUAAAAACACAGCACUGUGCAAACACGAAAGUGGACGUAUACGGUGUGACGCCUGCCCGGUGCUGGAAGGUUAAUUGAUGGGGUCAGCCGCAAGGCGAAGCUCUUGAUCGAAGCCCCAGUAAACGGCGGCCGUAACUAUAACGGUCCUAAGGUAGCGAAAUUCCUUGUCGGGUAAGUUCCGACCUGCACGAAUGGCGUAAUGAUGGCCAGGCUGUCUCCACCCGAGACUCAGUGAAAUUGAACUCGCUGUGAAGAUGCAGUGUACCCGCGGCAAGACGGAAAGACCCCGUGAACCUUUACUAUAGCUUGACACUGAACAUUGAGCCUUGAUGUGUAGGAUAGGUGGGAGGCUUUGAAGCGUGGACGCCAGUCUGCGUGGAGCCAUCCUUGAAAUACCACCCUUUAAUGUUUGAUGUUCUAACUCGGCCCCAUAAUCUGGGGUGAGGACAGUGUCUGGUGGGUAGUUUGACUGGGGCGGUCUCCUCCCAAAGAGUAACGGAGGAGCACGAAGGUUAGCUAAUCACGGUCGGACAUCGUGAGGUUAGUGCAAAGGCAUAAGCUAGCUUGACUGCGAGAGUGACGGCUCGAGCAGGUACGAAAGUAGGUCUUAGUGAUCCGGUGGUUCUGAAUGGAAGGGCCAUCGCUCAACGGAUAAAAGGUACUCCGGGGAUAACAGGCUGAUACCGCCCAAGAGUUCAUAUCGACGGCGGUGUUUGGCACCUCGAUGUCGGCUCAUCACAUCCUGGGGCUGAAGUAGGUCCCAAGGGUAUGGCUGUUCGCCAUUUAAAGUGGUACGCGAGCUGGGUUUAGAACGUCGUGAGACAGUUCGGUCCCUAUCUGCCGUGGGCGUUGGAAGAUUGAGAGGGGUUGCUCCUAGUACGAGAGGACCGGAGUGAACGCACCACUGGUGUUCGGGUUGUCAUGCCAAUGGCAUUGCCCGGUAGCUAAGUGCGGAAAAGAUAAGCGCUGAAAGCAUCUAAGCGCGAAACUUGCCUCAAGAUGAGUCUUCCCUGGGCCUUUAAG